AGCUGCGCGUACAGAGAUCCGAUUCCCCUAAAUGGGAUAACGAUCGAAAGGCGACCGAGAUCGCGGUGUUAACCCUUAACGUGCACCCCUUGAAGACUCAUCGAGCCACGGAAUCUUUUGUCGCUGUAGUUCGCUGUUACCAUUUGUGGUCUCUUCGAUUGGAUCUCCGCUUGUCCUUAUGGCACUAUCCUCGCGCGGAUCCUUCGCAAUUGGAUGCAGUGUUCGCUACUGUUCUGUCAAACGGUGACUCGUACGCGUGCGCACUAGAAACUGAAUGUGAGGAUGCAGAUUAACUAACUUUCGUAAAAAAGAAGUGUACGAGCAAUAUAUAGAGAACAUGUAUGGAGACAACCGUUAAGGGUUCCAGAUUGUAAGAUAGAGGGUGCUGGUGAACAAGCCAUAGCUAGAGACCUCUGCACUCAUAAAUUCGCCAGUUCGUUUGAGAACAUGCCGCUACGGUAACUCAAUAUUGGAACGCCUUAACUAUCGAGUCCUAACUCUGUGCGCACUUUUCUGUGCCGUAAUUCCGUGCGAUGUAUAAAGCAGCCUCGAGCGAGGCACGCGUUUCUCCGUGUCCAGCUACCUUUAAUGAGGCCGACUCCUGGCGUGGGUGAACGAAGAGAAAGAGAGCCGACGAUUAAUAGUACACUGAAGACGAUAUAGAGAAGCCUGGCGACGAUACCCUGGAGAAACAACAUUGCACGCCGAUAUUGAUCGCUUGCUAUCGAGAUCGUCUCUAUUCGAUCUGCGCUUCUCUACCGACUGUUCGAUUUCGCGUCUGGCCUCACAUGCUUCACAAGUAAACACAAUGAGUGAAUGUUAGAGAUUUUGAGAAAUUAUACAUGCCACCAUACAAGAUCAAACUAGAAAUAUCAAGUUCACAGCUGAUCUUCGUGGAACGUAAACAAAACGCGGCAGAAUGGAAAAGCAACGGGUAGGUUGGUCGAGCAACUUGUCCUGGAGGUAUAAUGCGCUUUGCACGUGUCCCCGGUUGUGGCAAAGAGGAUAUCAACGCGGAAGCAGCGGGCACCGCGACGAGAAUCGCGGUUGUUCCUUGCAGUUUCUCUUCUGGGGCCGAGCGUUCUUUCCAAGUGCUCGGUUGCAGCUUGCUCCUGCGACCUGUUACGCGGCCUGAUGGUUUUGUUUCGAACCAGGGACGCACGCUUGCCACUAUACUCUCGCAAGACAUUGAUUCAUCCUCCUUCUUCGUGUCUCCACCGUUAGUCGGCGCAAUUGUACUCCAUUGCAUGUUUUGCUCAUGUUUUCCUGUUUCAAAAAUAGUUGAUCUCGAAGUGAUUCUUUAAGAAGUGAUUCUUUUAAGAAUUGAAUUUUUGUGAGUUUGAGAGUUUUUUUAAUUUACUAAGGAAUUUUUAUUGAAAAAUUUGAAAAUUUGAUGUUGAAAUUUUUUUGUAUAAUUAUGAUAAAUUUAUAAUUGAAAAACUGAAAGGAAAUAUUAAUUUUUAAAUUAUAUAUAAUUCUUUGCCAGAAAUUAUCGAUUAUAUGAUUCAUUUUUUCAAUUCCGUAUUGACAAUUUUUAAAAUUUUAGCUUUCUAUACAUAUUCGAAAUUAUAUUGUUUUUUAAUAAAAUAAAUUUUUAUUAUUAUUGGCCAGAUCGAUUAAAUAUAAAAGUCUAUUCUUAGAAUAAUCGAAACAACGUGACAUUGAUUAUUCUAAAAAAGAGAUUUUCGGAUGAAUCAUGUUUUCGUUUUUUCAAUUUCGCUUUAGCUGUCAUUUAUGAUUCUCCAAUAUUUUGAUUUUUAAAAACUAAUUACGACAAACAUUACUCAAAUAUUGAUAAAAAUAUUAAAAUUGUACAUAUAAUUAUAAAUAUUAAUUUUAAUAUUUAAGAAUUUAAUUUCAUUAAUAAAAAUAAUAUAUUCAGAAUAAAAAAUAAUUCUACAAAUCAAAAA